rnacentral:lncRNA from 1 species
UUUUUGUUUGUUCAUCACUCCAUUUCCCACUCUAUUUUGCAGUAAAUUAUGGAGUGGGGUUGGAGAUGCUCUAACUUUUAAUGCACUAGAAGACUUAUUCUGGAAGACUUCUGGCGGAGUCUUCUCCUAUGUCUGCUCUUUUAUUUCAGAUCUGAGUGUUUUGGUAAGUUUAUAUGUUUGAUUUUUUUUAUUUGAUAACUUUUGUUUGCUUAAAGCUCUUAUCCUUUUCACAUUUUAUCAUUUUUUGUAGGGUUAAAGACCUAUUUCCACACCAUAACUAUCAUAUAGUAACAAAUACACACAAACUUUCAUCCUCGUCAUAAUUGAACAUAACUUAACUAUCUCAACCUAUUACCCCGAUUCGAAAGAUCAAAACCCGAAUCCACCUGAACUAUAAUGACCGAUCUAAAACCACCACAAAGUGGUUUACUGUUGGUUAACUAGCUGUUGGUUA